CCUUCGCCACGCCCGCUCAAGAACUACGAAAGGAAGUUGACGGGGGCCCGCACAAGCGGUGGAGUAUGUGGUUUAAUUCGAUGCAACGCGAAGAACCUUACCUGGUCUUGACAUCCCGGAGACCCUUAGGAAACUAGGGGGUGCUUCCAUCUGGAAGAAUCUGGAGACAGGUGCUGCAUGGCUGUCGUCAGCUCGUGUCGUGAGAUGUUGGGUUAAGUCCCGCAACGAGCGCAACCCUUGCCUUUAGUUGCCAGCAGUUCGGCUGGGCACUCUAAAGGGACUGCCGGUGUUAAACCGGAGGAAGGUGGGGAUGACGUCAAGUCCUCAUGGCCUUUAUGACCAGGGCUACACACGUACUACAAUGGCCGAUACAAAGGGCAGCGACACUGCGAGGUGAAGCCAAUCCCGUAAAAUCGGUCUCAGUCCGGAUUGGAGUCUGCAACUCGACUCCAUGAAGUUGGAAUCGCUAGUAAUCGUGGAUCAGCAUGCCACGGUGAAUACGUUCCCGGGCCUU
rnacentral:rRNA from 1 species